rnacentral:lncRNA from 1 species
ACUUAACUUGACUCUCAAGCCAUGUCUGCUUAUGAAGUUCACUGCCACAGUAAGCAAUAGACUCAUUCAAAAUGGCGGGCGUCUGGUCUUCACUUCUGCCUGCAAAUGACAAGAUUCUUUUAAACUGUUUUUCUGGAGGUUAACAAAUGCCCUUCUGCAGGUUGGUAGUUUUAGGCUAUUCCAGUAAAACACACAGUAACAACAUAGAAACUGAAUUUUAUCAACUAGAUUUACUUUAUGGAGUGAAAAACAAUCUGACAUAGCAAGCAAUUGAAAAUCUCAUGUGUGUAUGUGCAUCUGUGUGUGCCUGUGUGUGUGUAUGGGUGUAUCUGUGUGUGCCUGUGUAUAUGUAUAUCUGUGUGUAUCUCUGUGUGUCUGUGUAUAUUGUGUCUUUGUACAUAUGUGUGUGAGUGUCUGUACCUUAAAAAAUAAUCCCAUUCUGAAAAUGCAUUCUUAGUAACACUUAUUUCCAGUAACGUAUGGGAAGUGUUUUCUAGGGAAAUAUAGAGGAAGUGACGACAAGAUCACUUAUAUUCCUCAAGUACUUGAGAAUGUUAGCUAUAGAACAAGACUUAGUACAUUGUCAAGCAUCCAGAUUCUGAAAGAUGUGUUAGAUAUAAAUGAGAUUUGAGAGAGCAGGGAGGGAGGAAAGGAAGGAGGGAGGAAGGGAGGGAGAAUAUGCAAGUAGCUGUCUGGUAUUGUGUAGGCACAUUCCUGGUCAGAUGGUGGCUAGGUGCAGUAUCACUGAGAUAUUAAAAAUCUACAAUGUGAUCUCUGCCUUCAGGAUAUCUAUCCCCAUGAAUUGAAUAAAUUGCUCUCAAACACUUAGCUUUUAAUUUGCAAUUUAUCUCACAGUCGAAACUAAUUUUAAAAUUAACCUUCUAGUCCCAAGAAUAUUCUUUCACACUCUCUACCCUUGUAAAGGGACACCGAUUGUCACUUGUUUAAAAAUGGAGAGACUUGGAUCUCUUUGCUCAUAGUUCAUCAACUGUAUUCUAUCCGCCGCCACAGAGUUAUUUGUUAUAAUUCUUUACUCUUCAAUAAUGGGUAAUUAGUGCAGAAAGACCUAGUGCGGUUUGAUGUGGAAGUUAAAAGCCUCAAGAGGAUUCCUUAACCAUGCACCUGCCUCAGCUGGCUUAUCCCAGCUCAGUUUGGGGUUUAAUGAAAAACAUAUUUUUGUUGUUAUAGCUGAGUCUCCUAUUCUUGACGCCACCCCUCAUUAAGUGGGGUUCCCCUAGAGUGCCACUUGGAAAGGUAUCUGUUGUUAGGCGAGAGGCAGGGGACUUAACUAAUGGCUGAAGCAUGCAUUCUACAACAUCAUAGGACAGGCAUGGUGAAUAGUUUUACACACACACUUGGGGACUACUAAAUAGAGGAGUUGAUACAGUUUUGUGGAAUUUGCAAUUUUUAUAAAACAUGUAAAUAACUAUAUAAAUAUGUUACCAAGGUUCUUCCUAAGCAUUGGUUACAAUGAAACUUAAAUGUGCCUAAUACUAAGAUCUUUCCAUCUCUGACUCAUGGGGUAAUGCAAAAUUGUUUUUAAAAUAGUAACUUUUCAUUUGAAAGGUACUUUAUAUCAGGCUCAAAUUUAGUACCUAUUUAUAUGCUGAGCAAUAGGGGUGGGCACAUACAUCAGGAGCUAUGAAGUGUUAUACUUCGCUUGCCUGCUGCUUGAAGAAUCUGAAGAAAGCAUAUGAAAGUAGGACCUGACUUGGGAAGGUGUGUCACAGACUACAGAGUCAGCCUUUUGGGAAGUUUUCAGUGUCUUCAGUAUUAAAAAAACUUGUAUGUCUUACUGCCAUUUGCUGUUGAUCAGUAGCAGUGAUUUGAAUACACUAUUGCACAGACGUCUGAUGGCUGGGAUGGGAACCAUACUUAAAAUCCAAUGGGCAGAGCCAGCUCUGUCACCCUAGCUUUGUUGGUCUUGAAAGAGAUCUCUAAAGUUGAGUGUCAGUUAACAGACUGUUAACUGUUAGUUGUGAUUGCUUCUUCAUCCACAAGAAUAGAGUAGCUGUUUGGUUGAUCAUAUUUCCAUUCUUAAAAUGUACACUGAAAUAGUUUAAGAUGUAUUGAUUAAACAUAGCAUAUUUAUGACUAGAGUUUUC